rnacentral:lncRNA from 1 species
CAGAUUUGAAAAUUUUCCUAAAGGGUCCUCCAAGUUUUACAACUGAAAUUUGAAUUUCAAAAUUUCAAAACUUCAAAAAACCAAAAACAAAAGAAAAAUAUAGCAGAAUACUCAAAAAAAAUGCCGUUUCAUUGAAUUGAUAGAUCAAUUUCGAGUUUCAGUUCAUUUACAUCGUCUAACCUAGUUUCUGAUUUGUUGUAGCUCUUCUGAAGCCUACUUGUUUAAUUUUGGGUGCGUUCGAGUUCAUUUGAGUUAGAUUUGGGUUAAAUAUUGGUAUUGUAAUUCUGUGGACCACUCCUCGGUUCUGUAACGCCUGUAUUGAUUCUACAAUUGUCCAUGUUACUGCUUGUUUACAUCUGUUGUUAUGCUUUCAUUUUGCAAUAACUCCAAGUACAAUGCUAUAGAUCUCGAAUAUUGGACUGAAAAUGAAAUGAUGCUCGUUUGUUUCUUUGCAUUAUCAACUGGUUCAUGAUUCAGUUGCAUCUUCGUGUAAAAUGACCUAGUUUCCUUUAAAAUUGAAAGGUGUGAUUGUAUAUUGGAAAAUUAGUUUGUAGCUGUUUAUACUGAAGUUGAUUAGGAGUGUUCAUAGAAUUAAAAAUUGUUUGGGACUGUAAUUAGGGACUGCUGGAAUUCAUUUGGGGUUUUUCGUCUAUUUCACCAUAGCAAUUAUUGCUAGUUUAGAGCUGUUAAAUUUUUUUAUUUGUUACCAUGGCGAUUAUAUUUAGAACAGUAAGUUAGUUAAUUUGAAUGUUCUAGCCUGUUUAAAUUUGGAAAUGGCAUGCUCACAGUCAUUUGAGGUCACAUACAUCUAGUAAUUCAAACACGUCAAUCUUCUGCUGAUUUGUCAAGAAUUAUUCUGUAAUGAAGUGUUAUAAUACGUAUUGGUCAAUUAGUUGUUAAAAUUAGUAACACAUGAUGUUAGAUUCUCAAGGGCCACACAAGUUGAAUAUGUAUGUAAAAC